rnacentral:tRNA from 1 species
UAAAGUAAAGAAUUUACACCUAACUUCGAAUUAGAUUUUUAACUUAAAUAGUUUAU